rnacentral:rRNA from 1 species
UACAGAGGGGGCAAGCGUUGUUCGGAAUUACUGGGCGUAAAGGGCUCGUAGGCGGUUUGUCGCGUCGGGAGUGAAAACACUGGGCUUAACCGAGUGCUUGCUUUCGAUACGGGCAGACUUGAGGCAUUGAGGGGAGAACGGAAUUCCUGGUGUAGCGGUGAAAUGCGUAGAUAUCUGGAGGAACACCGGCGGCGAAGGCGGCAUCCUGGACCGGCAUUGACGCUGAGGCGCGAAAGCCAGGGGAGCAAACGGG